ACGGGUGUGGCUCCAGUGGGGAAUAUUGCACAAUGGGCGCAAGCCUGAUGCAGCAACGCCGCGUGAGGGACGAAGGCCUUCGGGUUGUAAACCUCCUUUAGCAGGGAAGAAGCGAAAGUGACGGUACCUGCAGAAAAAGCACGCGGCUAACUACGUGCCAGCAGCCGCGGUAAUACGUAGGGUGCAAGCGUUGUCCGGAAUUAUUGGGCGUAAAGAGCUCGUAGGCGGUUUGUCACGUCUGCUGUGAAAUUUCGAGGCUCAACCUCGAACUUGCAGUGGGUACGGGCAGGCUAGAGUGCGGUAGGGGGGAUGGGAAUUCCUGGUGUAGCGGUGGAAUGCGCAGAUAUCAGGAGGAACACCAAUGGCGAAGGCACAUCUCUGGGCCGUAACUGACGCUGAGGAGCGAAAGCGUGGGGAGCAAACAGGAUUAGAUACCCGAGUAGUC
rnacentral:rRNA from 1 species